UUGAUUGAACCUAAUUAAGGAUAUUACUGUUAAUAAUAAAUAGGGUAACUAACCCCAUUCAAA
rnacentral:tRNA from 1 species